rnacentral:lncRNA from 1 species
UGAGGAGCUGUGGAAGAGGUUUUGCUGUGUAUGGCGGCUGAUACCCUAGGGGAGACCACGGACUUGUCACCACAGCGAGGACACUCCCAAAUGACAUGAGCCACCAGGGCAGAAGAUGCAGACAAAAGAAAGGAGGAAAUGGACUCUGCAGAAGAGACCCCCCCAAGCUCUGGAGCCCACAGGGAUGAGGGGAAGACGCUCUGCCUGUCCUGACUUGGACUUUUAUGGCUUGGCACCAAGCCCAGCCUUCCAUCACAGUUAUCACAGCAAACACUCACUGUGCAUGGAAAACCCUGCAUGACACGCACCUCCUGUUACAUCAAAUUGGAUGGUUCAAUGGGUGUAUCAUUCUGUUGAGAGCCAGGCACGCACAGAGCCCCUCACCAUUUCUAACCCAGAGGAGGCACCCUUGGGGCCAGCAUCUAAGUUCUUCUUAAAGGGGGAUCUGCUAUUCUUAAGGCCAUGCUGUCACAAUUCAUAGAAAUGUCAGCUACAGUACAACAGGCAGUAGACUGCAUCGAUGCUGUAGCUGGACACAAAAAAGAGAAUUUUCCAGAUCUUGUUUGCCAGUAAAGGUGAAUGGGCCCCACUGCCCCCUCCCCGAGAAACACAACAGAGGGUCCCUAGGGAAUAUGGGUUCUUCCAGGCUCCUUAUUGGUACCACAGAGGGGUGGCACCUUGUCCCAUCUCUCUCCUUCAUGAAGUGACCACCAGGUCUCCCUGCAUUGGCAGCUCUGGAGAUCAGGGGUCCCGAAUGACCUAAUUUCGGGACAGCCUGACCAUGACUUAGAAGCAUUUGCUCAGGCACUGCGGGCUCUGCAACAGACUGCCGACCCCCCCACCCCAAGGAUGGAUGCUGUCACCUCUCAGAAUGCCCCAGCCAUGGCAGCAGGAUCUGGGAUCCGUACCCUGAUCUCUGAGAGUGGCAGCAAUUGAGGCCCCUGUGCUAGGAACCUGGCUGUUCCCCAGAGAGUGUCUCUCCCCUGGGGGACAAUCACCCGCACACUUCUUUAAUUAUCUAUUGGGACACACGUAAGAAACAAC